CAAUUGCCCGCAGCCCGACUUGAGCGGAAAUCCUUUUUACGCAACGUAGUGGAGUGAAAAGAUUGGGAGCGAAAGGCGGAUUAAGCU
rnacentral:misc_RNA from 1 species